rnacentral:rRNA from 1 species
AUUGAACGCUGGCGGCAGGCCUAACACAUGCAAGUCGAGCGGAUGAAGGGAGCUUGCUCCUGGAUUCAGCGGCGGACGGGUGAGUAAUGCCUAGGAUUCUGCCUGGUAGUGGGGGAUAACGUCCGGAAACGGGCGCUAAUACCGCGUACGUCCUGAGGGAGAAAGUGGGGGAUCUUCGGACCUCACGCUAUCAGAUGAGCCUAGGUCGGAUUAGCUAGUUGGUGGGGUAAAGGCCUACCAAGGCGACGAUCCGUAACUGGUCUGAGAGGAUGAUCAGUCACACUGGAACUGAGACACGGUCCAGACUCCUACGGGAGGCAGCAGUGGGGAAUAUUGGACAAUGGGCGAAAGCCUGAUCCAGCCAUGCCGCGUGUGUGAAGAAGGUCUUCGGAUUGUAAAGCACUUUAAGUUGGGAGGAAGGGCAGUAAGUUAAUACCUUGCUGUUUUGACGUUACCAACAGAAUAAGCACCGGCUAACUUCGUG